UCGGAUAAUCGCGCCGGAAACGGUGAGGAAAGUCCGCGCAUCCAAGGACAGAUUGCCGGAGAAACUCCGGACGGCGUGAGCCGGUGGAAAAGUGCCACAGAAAAUAUACUGCCGAUGGAUAUUAGUCACAGGCGAUGGUGCAACGGCGAGGUAAGAGCUCACCGGCAAUAUUGAGAAAUAUUGUGCAAGGUAAACCCCAAUCGGAUGCAAGAUUAACAGGAAGGCUAUGAGGUGUCCGCCCACUUCCGAAAAAUCGCUAGAGAUUGAAAGUAAUUUCAAUACCAGACAGAUGAUUAUCUAAAACAGAACGCGGCUUACGGGCUGCUUUA
rnacentral:RNase_P_RNA from 1 species